UCAGACCGUUGUGAGUAAUUUAACGCGGCAGAAGAAGCUGAAGCUCGGAUGACUGCAAUCCAAGAGAUAAUCUUUGUGUGCAUCGUUGAAUAAUUGGCUGCAAACGGCCGAGGGAAAGCUGGAGGACGGCCCCGCCGUUCCUCAAUGGAACAGAACAGUGUCAAUUCCUCCUGCCGCUGGCCCAGCGUCCGCCGUGAGAAACCCAAGCUCCUCCGGUCUGAGAAAGAAACAAGCCAGCAUUAAAGACUUGGUACAAAGGAAGGUGUGCACACCACGGCAAGCGGCUGCACUGACUGAUAUUAUCCUGAAUAUGUUGGUAACUGACAUGAGGCCAUUAUCAACCGUGGAGGAUGAAUGUUUUAGACAAAUGAUUCACGACCUCAACCCUGGUUACACUGUUCCCCCGAGGAACUAUUUUACCAAACUGAUGGAGAGGAAGUACGAACAGACAUUCCAUGCAGUGUAGACUGACAUAAAAGCCACCCAGAGCUAAAUUGCUCCCACUACUGAUGUGUGGACAAGUGUAGCCUACCUUGGCAAUACAUGCCACUACAUUGGAGACAAAUGGAACAUGAAGUCAAUCUGCCUUACGACCAUGCCACUAGAUGAAAGACAUUCAGCAUCCAACAUUGAUGAAUGGUUGGAAUAG